AGGGGGGCUGGAGUGAGACACACACUAAGAGAAAGGAAGCCUGGGAGAGGACAGUGGGAAGGAGAAUGAUGCUCUUAUUAGCAGAUGGUGUUUGAAAGGGAGAAAAAGAGUUUUCUAACAGGCACUCAGGGAAAUCCAAGAGGGAAAAUUUAUGGGGGAAAUGAUCUCCCCUAAAGGGGUGAAAAAGGAUGGGGGUCGGACAGCAGGGCGUCGUCCCUCCCAUCAACCACCAGGUGGCGCUGUUGGAAAAGAAAAUGCGCUUGGCCUCGGGGCCCGGCCGGGCCGUGCUCUCCUCCCUUGCUGGGGCCAGAUUCCAGGGCCAGAUUCCAGGGCCUUCCAAGGACUCCCACUCCUCCCUGGCGUCCAGGCAUUUGCACGCAGCGCCUCGUGGGCGCCCAGGAACGAGCCAGGAAAUUGGAGUGGAUAGUGGCAUUUUAAGAGUGUAAGUAACAAAACUAUACCAAUUAUAUGUGAUUUCUGGUCUCUACUACUCAGAAAAGGUAUGUUUGAGAGUAAUUCCUUUCUUUGCCAACAAAGGUACAAUCCAGGGGGUUUCUGCUGGAUAUACUGGGGCUUUAGACUCUCCCUUUUACUCCCACAGUGGACCAUACUGCCAGGGAGAAGAGCUGUGGUGCUAGAAAUACAGAGAGAGAGGCUACUUCCUUACUGCCAGAACCCUGCUGAGACCCUGCUGUCCCAGGAAUCCGUAGUACUAGCAGCAAAGCCAUGGUGUCUCCCCAAGCAUCUUCAGCCUUCUUCGGCAAGGUGAGAAGAUAAAGAGUUUAACAAGAGAACCAGAAGAGAGUCUUGCAUCAAUCUUUAAUUUCAGGAUCAACCUACCUCAUAGGCUUGGAGUGAGGAUUUGCUAUGGUUUUCCUCUAGUCUGGCCAUGUGAGACAAAGAGUCACAGUUAUUGGGAUCCCUGGGUGGCGCAGCGGUUUGGCGCCUGCCUUUGGCCCAGGGCGCGAUCCUGGAGACCCGGGAUCGAAUCCCACGUCGGGCUCCCGGUGCAUGGAGCCUGCUUCUCCCUCUGCCUGUGUCUCUGCCUCUUUC
rnacentral:lncRNA from 1 species